CGUCGCUCUGCAAACACCCCACCACCACCACCGACGGGGGAUGCAGGGCGGAGAUUGGUCUCCCGUGCGCCCUGGCGCGCGGAUGGCUAAAAUGGGAUCCCUCGGCGACGCACGUCAUGGCCAUUGGUGGUUGAUCAGUCGACUCGUGUGUGGUUGUGCUCCUCUGCGUCGCUCGCGAGGGCAUCCGACGUACCCAAUGGCGCCUGGCGCUAGCAUCC
rnacentral:misc_RNA from 1 species